UCUUUACUUGUUUCAUAAUUGAGAUAAGUUAUCUCAAUUGUUGGGUAGAUAGGUAAGCGGUAAAAAGUCUCAGUAAAUGUUUUACCGUGGUAGGAAUACUUUUUUGUGAGCGACAAAAAUAGUGAGUAGUUGUUUUGAGGUUGGGAAACACUUGAGAGACACUAUUUUUUGAUCGAUUCGGAUAGUCUUGUAGCUACCUUGUUCUAGUGAAGUGCUUGUAGCUGUCGCUGCUACCAUAGAUGUACUCUCCGCAUUGGAGGGGAACUACGUAAAUCCCGGUGUUAUUUACUUACCGUUUUAUGAUUGUCAAUUUCGAGAAUAUUUGUUGUAUAUUGCAUAAUUAAUAUUACCACAGUGUUAUAAAACUAAAUUCAAAGAAAGACAAGAACAAGAGAAAUAUGGAGAGGGAGAGAGUUUCUUAUUGAGGUGUAUAGAAUGCUACAAAUGAGAGCUCUAU
rnacentral:lncRNA from 1 species